rnacentral:rRNA from 1 species
UGGGGAAUAUUGGACAAUGGGCGAAAGCCUGAUCCAGCAAUGCCGCGUGAGUGAUGAAGGCCCUAGGGUUGUAAAGCUCUUUUACCCGGGAUGAUAAUGACAGUACCGGGAGAAUAAGCCCCGGCUAACUCCGUGCCAGCAGCCGCGGUAAUACGGGGGGGGCUAGCGUUGUUCGGAAUUACUGGGCGUAAAGCGCACGUAGGCGGCUUUGUAAGUCAGAGGUGAAAGCCCGGAGCUUAACUCCGGAAUUGCCUUUGAGACUGCAUCGCUUGAAUCCGGGAGAGGUGAGUGGAAUUCCGAGUGUAGAGGUGAAAUUCGUAGAUAUUCGGAAGAACACCAGUGGCGAAGGCGGCUCACUGGACCGGUAUUGACGCUGAGGUGCGAAAGCGUGGGGAGCAAACA